rnacentral:misc_RNA from 1 species
GUCGCAAGUAGAGGAGGAUUGGGUGUAUCCCCAAUUUUGGGAAAUGCAGGUCCUCGGAUCACAAGUUCAAUGGGAAAUAUGGUCAGUGGAGGCAACAUAGGAAGGAGUAUAACUGCAGGUGGGGGAUUGUCAUUACCUGGUCUUGCUUCUCGUCUAAACCUCAGUGCCAAUAGUGGAUCUGGAAGCUUAACUGUGCAAGGACAAAACCGUCUAAUGAGUGGUGUGCUACCACAAGC